GCCAACCUUCCCGCCGUUUAACUUCAUAAAACAACGGAAAAAGCACAAACUUAUCAUUGCUGAGAAACUUCUCUGGUUUCUUAACUGCGAUAGGAAGACGAAUUCCGAGGAACUGCCUCCACCUUUAGCAUAUUUUGAUCUCCGUCUUUUCUCGGUGAACAAUGUUCUACGACCAUUUCUUCAACUAUAUUAUCAUAGGCGACGGUUCUAUCUCUCAUGAAUGAUGUAAUAUUGGUGUACUUUGACUUGAGAUCAAGAUCAAUAGAAUGGUGACGUUGGCUACAACUUAAUUACAAGUUAUACUUGAUCUUGAAGACCAAGCCAAGCAACAAGAUGUAGGCCUUAGAGUAGGGCAUGUUGAUUAUAUUCUCAUUCGCUCUGAUUUUUUGUUAAAUCACUGGAUAAAUAUUACUACCUUAGCAUACUACCUAUUAAAGCUUCAAUUUUUAAGUGCGAUGGGAUUUGAGGUGGCUGAAAACAGGAAGUUGUCCUACUCCUUGUGAACUACGCAUAUAUACCCCUCUAUUUUUUUUAAUCUUUCUCGCCUUUUGUUAGUUGUAGAAUUUUAAAUAGUGACAUAAGAAAU